GAACACGCGAUGAACGGGAGCAGUAGAUGAUGAAGGUGAGCAGAGAGCUGCGGGGUGGUGCGACGCAGUCACCGGAGGCAUUGAAUCUCGCCCGGGAGCGGAGCGGCGGAACAGCAGGAUGUAUGCCGCUACGGAUGUCCCCGUUACCGGACCUUCAUGGAGUGCUGCCGGGCAUUAGCGCCCGGCAAGCGUUCCGUGGGGAAGAGCAGGACGCAGCUUGAAGCUUUGCUGGCAUAGAAGGCUGUGCGUCAAAAAGAGUGGUACCGCGGAGGGGGAACCCGCCGUCUCUUUA
rnacentral:ncRNA from 1 species